ACAUGCAAGUCGAGGGGCAUCAGGAAGAAAGCUUGCUUUCUUUGCUGGCGACCGGCGCACGGGUGAGUAACACGUAUCCAACCUGCCCUUUACUCGGGGAUAGCCUUUCGAAAGAAAGAUUAAUACCCGAUGGCAUAGUUCUUCCGCAUGGUGGAACUAUUAAAGAAUUUCGGUCAUCGAUGGGGAUGCGUUCCAUUAGGUUGUUGGCGGGGUAACGGCCCACCAAACCGACGAUGGAUAGGGGUUCUGAGAGGAAGGUCCCCACAUUGGUACUGAGACACGGACCAAACUCC
rnacentral:rRNA from 1 species